AAGGUUGGGUAAGUUUUUUUUUUCAUGAAGUGUGAUGCAUAAUGAGGAUGCAAAUGUUAUACAUAUUUUAUUUCCAGGGAGUCAUUUGAGUUUCAUUAGUUGUUAGUAAUUCGAAGAAACAAAAAAAUACUUAGAAUAGCAAUAAUGGAGUAAUUUUUAAACGUCAUUCAUUCCAAUACAUAACAUAGAGGUCCAAAAAGGUCAUAAUUCAAAAGUACAUUUGUUAAAGGAACAAAAUACAAGACAUAGGAAAAUUAAACAACUGGCUUUUU
rnacentral:lncRNA from 1 species